AGUUGUGAAAAGAUAAACGCUGAAAGCAUCUAAGCGUUAAACUCGCCUUAAGAUGAGAUUUGCCCGGGGACUCGAUCCCCCUAAAGGGUCGUGGUAGACCACCACGUUGAUAGGCUGGAUGUGGAAGCGCAGCAAUGCGUUAAGCUAACCAGUACUAAUCGCCCGUGCGGCUUGAUCCUAUAACCUUGCG
rnacentral:rRNA from 1 species